AAUCACAGACUGUCCAAAUAUUCUUUUCCAGCUCAAUUUGAAUGCAGUUCUCUUGUUCUUUAAGUUUUCUAGAAACAGAGGAAUAAAAAGCUGUUUUCUUUGUUGUUCUUUUGGUCAGUUCAGCUUCAUGAAAGAUGCUCUGCUUGUUGCAGAGUUGACUCACACUGGCUAAUUUCUCUCCAUAACUGUGGUGGGGGCUGAGGUGGCCAGAGGGGAGACUGAGCUGGGACAUGUGUGAUCACGCAGCUCACCUCCCUCACCCCAAAAACUAUCAGGACCCAGAGGAGAGAGGAAUCGGAACAGCUGGAGCUGAGCCCAGCUCCCCAUUCUUCUCUCGUCAGUGACAUCAUAGAAUCAUGGAGCCCUUGAGUUAGAGAGACCAGAGAGCCAGUCCAACCCAGUCCAUCACCUGGAGGCUGGAGAACCACGAGGCUGUUGCCUGUUCGUCCCCCUCUUCUGAGAGGUCCAGGUCACCUGCUCUGGGAGAAGCCAGUUGCCAUGUUGUAAGGACACUCAAGCAGCCCAUGGAAUGACUCACAUGCUGAAGAACUGAGCCCUCCCUCCUUCCAACAGCCAGGGAGGAACUAGGGCUUCUUGCCAAUAACCAUGUGAAGAAGCUUGGAAAUGGAUUCUCCCCCAAAUGAGUCUUCAGAUUACUUUAGACUAACAUCUUGACUGCAACCUCUAGAAAGACCCUGAGCCAGGAUCACCAAGCUCACAGAAGCUAAGAGUUAAUAAAUGUUUGAAUUAA
rnacentral:lncRNA from 1 species